CUUUUAAGUAAUCUAGAAAAGAAAUAAAGAUAAGGAAGGACUUACCUGUGCGUGCGGCGAACAACGACUAGAGAGAUCGACAACAUUGAAGUUACUAGCCCGGACUUUGUGACAUUUUCUCUUCUCCUUGUCUGAGGCUUGUUGUGGAGAAUUGUGAGUUUGAAAAAAGUGUGGAUAUCAAAAUAGGGAUCUCAACAUAAUUCUGCUCAAUGUCGUUCUCUUCCAGAGAUGGAAGAGAAGAGGUGUACGAAUUAAAUUGGUGGAAAAAUAAAGAAAUUUGGAGCUAAAAAGAAUAUAAGAUGGAAGGUUGAAGAAGGAAAUUAAGCAGGCAGCUUAAUUUAUUAAAUUGAAUAUAAUAUAUACAUUUUAUAAAGUAAGAAUGAAGAAUUAAAAUUGGAGAAGGAGCGUCAGGCGACAAGCACAAAAAUUUGGAAAGCACGGCGAAUAAAAUGGAAUUCAACUCCUUUUAGAUUUUGAGCUUCUAAAUUAAUUUGGACUCAGUUAUUUUGUUUAGGGUUUUUCAAAUAGUCCAUAGAAAUGAUUAUUUGAGCAGCAAUAUAGAAGAGGUAGUUUGUAAGAGAAAGCCGACAAUACUUUUUAGGGUUCUUUUCUUCUUCUUGUUUAUCAGAUAUUAGUAGCUAAAGCCCUUGUUCUGGGCUAUGGCUACGGAUUGAAUGUUGAUUAUUAAUAGCGUUUUGAAUAAACUUUUGGUUGUCAUUAUAAGUUACUUCGAUAUUAUUAUUUUAGUAUUUCUUGACUCGCCAUAGAGAAAUAAAUCUAGUGCCUAAUCUUGAAUUCACCAUAGGAGAGAUUAGAUAGACCAGAGAACACAGAGAGUUCAGUCCGCCCAUUAAAUUGAGAAAAUUAGGCUCAGGAGUGACACCCGAAAGACGAACACUUUGCUUGGCUACAAAAACCAAUGAUAUAUAAAAGCUCGCCAGUUAGUCUAUUUAUCCCUGCUCAAUGAUGUGGUUAGAUAUCUAAUAGGGUUAGGCGACGAGAGGCGUGUAACCCGGAUUAUACUAUCAACCCAAAAAAGCAGUAAUUUGACAAUUGAAGUAAAUUCUAAAUCAAAAAUAUGAUACAUGAAAUCCAAUAUAUGUUGUAGCCCUGGGUUUUCCAAUCAUUAUAAGUGACUUUAUUAUUUAAUUCCUUCAUUCAUUUAUAUUGGCAUUCUUAAAUAAAUAUUUAGACUAGUAUAAUUUAGUAAAAAUAGUUAUUUGACAAGUCCAUUGAGAUCGAUAAUCUGGUUUUUUAAGAGUCACUGAAUUACUUGUGCGACCACGUACAUUUGCGUGUUCAAUUGGGAGCAACAAGUUUUUGAUGUCGCUACCGGGGAAAUUCAACUUCUAACGAUUGAAUAGUAUCUCUCGUAUGAACUGUUAUAUAUGACAACCCAACUGGUCGAAGAAAAAGGUGAGCUCACACAAGAAAUCGAUUAAUCUGACUCAGAUAUUCAUGACAUAGAGGCUCACAUGAAACAAAGCUUGAGGCAUUUGAAGCCCAGUUAUUAAUUGUGUUGAAUUAUUACCAACUAAUGGAACAAAAAGAGGAAGCUCAACCAUUCAAAUAUACUUUAUUCCUUAAUAUCGAUGUUAAUAAUGAGUACAAAAGUGAGAAUGUUGUAAAUAAUGUUGCUUUAGAGUUGAGGAAACUUUAAUCUCAUUCAAACACUUUUCUACUAAAUCUGCACCAAUUGAUGAGUGCAUUGAUGUGGAACAAGGAUCCUACAUUCUAAUGCUUUAGUCAACGUAGCGAACAAUAUUUCUCACUUAAGGACCAAGAAGUGCAAGAUGCGACAUAUUAUACUUGGUUCCUUUAUAUUUAUACCACCACCUCUUGAGAGGAGUAGAAAAUAUAUGAAAAGUUAGGGAUAAAAGUCAUAAGUUCAAAGUGGAAGAAAGUGGUGAAUUUAUUUGUGUCGUGUCACGACGUUAAAGUAAGCGCUAAUUGGGAGGCAACCUAAUUUAUAGUGUAACUUCUUAGUUUUAUUUUUUAUUAUUAGUAUUAUUAUUUUGUGUUGUUCUUACAGAUUUUGGAGAAGUCUGAUUAUCCAAAAUUUGAAGCCAAGGAGCACAUUGGAGCUUAAAUGUGGGGUGCGUACGACCCUUGAUGAAAAUUGAGAAAACAUGCUACUAGCUAGGCCCAAAGGCCUCAACAAAUUUUCCUAACCCUUGUUUUAAAUUUUUAUUUGAUGGUUCGAGGACAUAGCAUCUUUUUGAGUGUAGGGUAGAGGAAUAAAUUCUUAAUUUGUGUAUUUUAUUAGGAUGGGUUCCUCGCAUUUUGUUUUUGAUUUUUUUCCCGAGGAUAAUCCAUUUGAACCGAGUAUCUUUUAUUUUUUUAGGAAUAAGUUUUUUUAUUAUUUAUUUAUUUUUUAGAGAAAGUAAAAGACUUUUUUCAUUGGUGUGAUACUUGUUAUUAGGUCUAAUUUUUUAUUAGUACUUUCUUGUGAAUGCUUGAAAAAAAAUUACAUACUCUUUGAGACCUAACUCAUGGGUGUGACUUUAUAUAUAACUUAUUUUAUUUUGUAGUUUGUUAUGAUCAUGUCUUUCUUAGAAGUGAAAUUGGUCCUUCUUGAUUGAUACGUGUGCCAUAUGUGGUGAGAUUUUAUUUAUUUCUUGUUUUGCAUCUUAGUCUAGAACUUGCCCUUCAUGUUAUUGAAACGAAAUAAAAGACGAUGCUUCUUUUAGGAGAUGAUAAUAGGCUUUAUUUUAUUUAUCUUUUAAUUUUAUCCUUUUCAGAUAUUAUAUCACUAGUUAUCCUUUUUGAGCCUAUAGCCUUUUGUUAUAUUUUGCCCUUGACUAUUUAUUGAAUUCCUAAUUUUUGCACCUUGCUUCCUUGAGCAUUAUUGUAUAGACUUAUUCUAAUUAUCAAUUUUAAGAAAAAGAGAUGGUUGAGUGAAAAGGUAAACAAUGAUAGCUACAAAGUGCUUAAAAAUUCCUCUUUGGAAAAAUGUGAUGUGGGUGGGCUUUGUUCUGGGGGAGGCGCCUUGCCCAGCUUUAGAAAGUAAUAAAAGAUGAAAAAAAAAGUUACCUGAUGAUGCCUCUAGUUCUUCCGAGGACACAGUGCACCUUAACACAUGUAAAAUAUGUAAUAUGGG